GAGGGAGGGUUCCACUCAGCCCACUGUGGAGUCGAUCAGAGCUAAACCCCACUGAUCACCUGACCUCUACAAGCCCCUGCUCUGACUGGUGGACCACAGUGACUUUUGGUUCUCUUAGAAUUAAUGUCAAUUAAAAGCCAGUAUUCAGUAAUGUUCAAAAGGUCUGAUUAUUUCCUUUUUUCUGAUGCACAGUGCACCUGGAGAAUGAUGCCAUUUCAAGGACUCACUGCUGGUUGCUACUGCUGGCAGAUUGGGCAUCCAUCAGCGGCGGUGGCCAGGCUGACCUUGCAGAUCUAUAUAAUUAUGAAGAGAUGUAAUCCCAGCCACUGGAUAUAGUUUACAAACUAGACUCUCCCUCACAAUCGAUGCUUACCGCUCAAUGGGACAGAAUUGAACAGAAACUGGACUUUAAAAUAGAAG
rnacentral:lncRNA from 1 species